UGCAGAGACUGCAAGCGUUAUUCGGAUUCACUGGGCGUAAAGGGUGCGCAGGUGGCCAAGUGUGUUAGGCGUGAAAGCCCGGGGCUUAACCCCGGAAUUGCACCUAAAACUACUUGGCUAGAGCAUUGGAGAGGGGAGCAGAAUUCAUGGUGUAGCAGUGAAAUGCGUAGAUAUCAUGAGGAAUACCAGAGGCGAAGGCGGCUCCCUGGACAAUUGCUGACACUCAGGCACGAAAGCGUGGGGAGCAAAAGGG
rnacentral:rRNA from 1 species